rnacentral:rRNA from 1 species
AUUGAACGCUGGCGGCAUGCCUAACACAUGCAAGUCGAACGGCAGCGCGGGUAGCUUGCUACCUGGCGGCGAGUGGCGGACGGGUGAGUAAUAUGUAGGAAUCUGCCUAGAGGAGGGGGAUAACUUAGGGAAACUUAAGCUAAUACCACAUAAGCCCUACGGGGGAAAGCAGGGGAUCGAAAGACCUUGCGCCUUAUGAUGAGCCUACAUCGGAUUAGCUUGUUGGUGGGGUAAAGGCCUACCAAGGCGAUGAUCCGUAGCUGGUCUGAGAGGAUGACCAGCCACACUGGGACUGAGACACGGCCCAGACUCCUACGGGAGGCAGCAGUGGGGAAUAUUGGACAAUGGGGGAAACCCUGAUCAGCAAUGCCGCGUGUGUGAAGAAGGCCUUCGGGUUGUAAAGCACCUUCAGUAGGGAGGAAGCGUUGUGUGUUAAUAGUACACAGCGUUGACGUUACCUACAGAAGAAGCACCGGCUAACUCUGUGCCAGCAGCCGCCGUAAAAC